rnacentral:rRNA from 1 species
GAGCGCCGUAGCAAUACGGAGCGGCAGACGGGAGAGUAACACGUGGGAACGUACCCUUUAGGUUCGGAACAACCCAGGGAAACUUGGGCUAAUACCGGUAUAAGCCCUGUACGGGGUAAAGAUUUAUCGCCGAAGGAUCGGCCCGCGUCUGAUUAGCUAGUUGGUGGGGUAAUGGCCCACCAAGGCGACGAUCAGUAGCUGGUCUGAGAGGAUGAUCAGCCUCACUGGGACUGAGACACGGCCCAUACUCCUACGGGAGGCAGCAGUGGGGAAUAUUGGACAAUGGGCGCAAGCCUGAUCCAGCCAUGCCGCGUGGGUGAUGAAGGCCCUAGGGUUGUAAAGCCCUUUCGGCGGGGAAGAUAAUGACGGUACCCGCAGAAGAAGCCCCGGCUAACUUCGUGCCAGCAGCCGCGGUAAU